rnacentral:tRNA from 1 species
GCCCAAGUAGUGUAGUCUGGCCUAUCAUAAAGCCCUGUCGAGGCUUUGACCCGGGUUCAAAUAUGUCCAUAGUCA